AUUAAUUUUGUUUGCUUCACAUUAAAAAUCAAAACUAUACAGAGAAGAUUGGCAUGACCCCUGUGUAAGAAAAGACACAAAUUCAUGAAGUGUUCCUUAUUUUU
rfam:Fukomys damarensis contig99247, whole genome shotgun sequence.